rnacentral:rRNA from 1 species
GACGAACGCUGGCGGCGUGCCUAAUACAUGCAAGUAGAACGCUGAAGGAGGAGCUUGCUUCUCUGGAUGAGUUGCGAACGGGUGAGUAACGCGUAGGUAACCUGCCUGGUAGCGGGGGAUAACUAUUGGAAACGAUAGCUAAUACCGCAUAAUAGUAGAUGUUGCAUGACAUUUGCUUAAAAGGUGCAAUUGCAUCACUACCAGAUGGACCUGCGUUGUAUUAGCUAGUUGGUGGGGUAACGGCUCACCAAGGCGACGAUACAUAGCCGACCUGAGAGGGUGAUAGGCCACACUGGGACUGGGACACGGCCCAGACUCCUACGGGAGGCAGCAGUAGGGAAUCUUCGGCAAUGGACGGAAGUCUGACCGAGCAACGCCGCGUGAGUGAAGAAGGUUUUCGGAUCGUAAAGCUCUGUUGUAAGAGAAGAACGAGUGUGAGAGUGGAAAGUUCACACUGUGACGGUAUCUUACCAGAAAGGGACGGCUAACUACGUG